GGUCAAGCUACAAAGGGUUUAUGAAGGAUGACUUGGUUAGGUGAGGCGAUGAAGGACGGGGUAAGCACCGAUAUGUCUCGGGGAGUCGCAAACAGGCUUUGAUCCGGGAGAUUCCGAAUGGGGCAACCCAUCGCAGGUUAUACUGCGAAAUCCCCGCGAUGAAUUCAAUAGUUGCGGGGAAGCGAUACCAGGAGAAUUGAAACAUCUAAGUACCCUGAGGAAAAGAAAUCACAGAGAUUCCCCCAGUAGCGGCGAGCGAAAAGGGAAGAGCCUAAACCAUUUUUCCGUAAGGAAAAAUGGGGUUGCGGGACCUCAAUGUGGCAGAUGGAAGGAUAGCAGAAAUGUAUGGGAAGACAUACUAUAGAGAGUGAAAGUCUCGUAUGCGAAAUUCUGAAGUCGCCUAGGGGUAUCCCAAGUACUAC
rnacentral:rRNA from 1 species